rnacentral:snoRNA from 7 species
UAGCAUAUUCCAGGGGCUGUGGCUGCUUGUAGCCAUGGGAUCUCCAAGCGCCUGCCAGAGCAAUGGAGAGACUGGCAGCCCAGGUCAGCACAGGGCCUGCAGCGGCCACUCAGCUUUCCUAUAG